CCUACGGGGGGCAGCAGUGAGGAAUAUUGGUCAAUGGACGAGAGUCUGAACCAGCCAAGUAGCGUGAAGGAUGACUGCCCUAUGGGUUGUAAACUUCUUUUAUAUGGGAAUAAAAUGUUCCACGUGUGGGAUUUUGUAUGUACCAUAUGAAUAAGGAUCGGCUAACUCCGUGCCAGCAGCCGCGGUAAUACGGAGGAUCCGAGCGUUAUCCGGAUUUAUUGGGUUUAAAGGGAGCGUAGGUGGAUUGUUAAGUCAGUUGUGAAAGUUUGCGGCUCAACCGUAAAAUUGCAGUUGAAACUGGCAGUCUUGAGUACAGUAGAGGUGGGCGGAAUUCGUGGUGUAGCGGUGAAAUGCUUAGAUAUCACGAAGAACUCCUAUUGCGAAGGCAGUUCACUGGACUGCAACUGACACUGAGGCUCGAAAGUGUGGGUAUCAAACAGGAUUAGAUACCCGAGUAGUC
rnacentral:rRNA from 1 species